CACAAGAAGCACAAUGACCUCAGCAUCACAAAAGAGCUCAGAUGUGGUCACGGACCUGAGAGAUCCAGGUCAGAAGAGGCCACACAACCAUGUGAACAGGUGGCAACCUCCAGUGGCAAGGCAAAACCAGCAGAGCCAGGACAGGACCCACCACAUGUGUGAGCCUGCUGAGGAAAGAAGAUCCUGGGCCAAAGGCAUUGCUGAUGUUACAAGUUGCCUCCGCUGCUUCAGGACCAAUUUUGAACUCGAG